UUACGGCCACAUCACGUGGAAACACUAGUUCUCGUACGAUCGUCGAAGUUAAGCAACGUUGAGCCUGGUCAGUAACCGGUCGGGUGACCGCUUAGGAAUACAACGUGCUGUAA